GACGAACGCUGGCGGCGUGCUUAACACAUGCAAGUCGAACGGAAAGGCCUGCAGCUUGCUGCGGGUACUCGGGUGGCGAACGGGUGAGUAACACGUGGGUGAUCUGCCUUGCACUUCGGGAUAAGCUUGGGAAACUGGGUCUAAUACCGGAUAGGACAGCUGUUUAGUGUCAGUUGUGGAAAGUUUUUUCGGUGCAAGAUGAGCUCGCGGCCUACCAGCUUGUUGGUGGGGUAAUGGCCUACCAAGGCGGCGACGGGUAGCCGGCCUGAGAGGGUGGACGGCCACAUUGGGACUGAGACACGGCCCAGACUCCUACGGGAGGCAGCAGUGGGGAAUAUUGCACAAUGGGCGGAAGCCUGAUGCAGCGACGCCGCGUGGGGGAUGACGGCCUUCGGGUUGUAAACUCCUUUCACCAUCGACGAAGGGUUUCUGACGGUAGAUGGAGAAGAAGCACCGGCUAACUACGUGCCAGCAGCCGCGGUAAUACGUAGGGUGCGAGCGUUGUCCGGAAUUACUGGGCGUAAAGAGCUCGUAGGUGGUUUGUCGCGUCGUCUGUGAAAUUCCGGGGCUUAACUCCGGGCGUGCAGGCGAUACGGGCAUAACUUGAGUACUGUAGGGGAGACUGGAAUUCCUGGUGUAGCGGUGAAAUGCGCAGAUAUCAGGAGGAACACCGGUGGCGAAGGCGGGUCUCUGGGCAGUAACUGACGCUGAGGAGCGAAAGCAUGGGGAGCGAACAGGAUUAGAUACCCUGGUAGUCCAUGCCGUAAACGGUGGGCGCUAGGUGUGGGUUUCCUUCCACGGGAUCCGUGCCGUAGCUAACGCAUUAAGCGCCCCGCCUGGGGAGUACGGCCGCAAGGCUAAAACUCAAAGGAAUUGACGGGGGCCCGCACAAGCGGCGGAGCAUGUGGAUUAAUUCGAUGCAACGCGAAGAACCUUACCUGGGCUUGACAUAUACAGGAUCGCGCCAGAGAUGGUGUUUCCCUUGUGGCUUGUAUACAGGUGGUGCAUGGUUGUCGUCAGCUCGUGUCGUGAGAUGUUGGGUUAAGUCCCGCAACGAGCGCAACCCUUGUCUUAUGUUGCCAGCACGUUGUGGUGGGGACUCGUAAGAAACUGCCGGGGUUAACUCGGAGGAAGGUGGGGAUGACGUCAAAUCAUCAUGCCCCUUAUGUCCAGGGCUUCACACAUGCUACAAUGGUCGGUACAGUGGGUUGCCAGUCCGUGAGGGCGAGCUAAUCCCGCAAAGCCGGUCUCAGUUCGGAUCGGGGUCUGCAACUCGACCCCGUGAAGUCGGAGUCGCUAGUAAUCGCAGAUCAGCAACGCUGCGGUGAAUACGUUCCCGGGCCU
rnacentral:rRNA from 1 species